GACGAACGCUGGCGGCGUGCCUAAUACAUGCAAGUCGAACGCAGUGGGGACGGGGGAGGAACACGUGGGUAACCGCCCAGCAGGGGCGAUAACACUUGGAAACAGGUGCUAAACCGGUACUGAUGGCUGGACCCGCGGUGCAUUAGCUAGUUGGUGAGGUAACGGCGCACCAAGGCAACGAUGCAUAGCCGACCUGUGAGGGUGAUCGGCCACACUGGGACUGAGACACGGCCCAGACUCCUACGGGAGGCAGCAGUAGGGAAUCUUCGGCAAUGGACGAAAGCCUGACCGAGCAACGCCGCGUGAGUGAAGAAGGUUUUCGGAUCGUAAAACUCUGUUGUUAGAGAAGCGGUAUCUAACCAGAAAGCCACGGCUAACUACGUGCCAGCAGCCGCGGUAAUUC
rnacentral:rRNA from 1 species